ensembl:snRNA U6 U6 spliceosomal RNA
GUGCUCACUUCAGCAGGACAAACACUAAAACUGAAAGGAUACAGAGAUGAUUAGCAUGGCCUCUGCACAAGGAUGACACACGAAUUUAUGAAGCGUUCCCGCCUCCA